AACAUCUCUGGUUUUGUUGACCCAGCAUUCCAACCCUCUUUCUUCUGGAAAAUGCCCAUUUUCCUACCACAAACAUCUUGUAGGGAGUCCCAACUCCUGGCUAUAGUUAAUUGGACUGGAGGUGAGUAAUCACAUCAAGUAGGGCUGAUGGAAAUACAGUGUUUUGUUCCUGAGUGAGCAGAUGAGCUAAACGAGGCCAAUGAAAGGCCUUCCUCAGGGUUUGAAAAACUGGAGCUGGGCAAAGAGGCUUACUCCCUCUCUAGGACAAAUGGAGAGGUGGAACAUUUGAUUCAUUUGUGGCAUAAUUCCUAGGGAAAAAAACCAGGGCAAAAGAAACAGAAAUAAGAGAUGAAAGGAAAAGACUCCAGGCGGUGUUUGAAUCUCUGAUUCCUUGUCGGUGAGGCCCAGGUGUGCCGUUGCCAUCUCAGAACUAUAUGAGCCUUCCAACACAGAUCCCUUUUUGCCUAAGCUAGUUCGACUUGGUUUUCAGUCACUUUCACCAAAAGAGAGAGACCUCACUCAUACUAUGACUUCAAAUAAGUCUAGUUUUAAUUUACAUUGUCAAAAGCUGACUUCAUUUAUCUUGUCAAAAGUUAACUUCAUUUUGAUAAGCAUCUCAAACAUCCCACCCAAAAUAGUAAGAAAUAAAGUGACCAUAAAUAGUUGUUGCAUUUUUCCUAACAAAAGCCAAUUGUUCAAAGUGAUUUUUUUUUUCUGUUUAUGCCUAUUAGACCAUCCAUCCAGGCAGUCUCCCAAGGAGCUCUUUCUUAUUAACAACCUUAGUUUAAAUUGUACUUCUAUCCCUCACCUCUCCUGUCACACUGUUGCACUGAGUGUAUAUUAUUUUGUCACUUUAUUAAAUAGUUCCUUUCCUAAAGCAACAAGAAAUCAUUUGCAAGAGAAAGUAUGUAUACGUUCUUAUCUUUUUUCCCUUUAGUUACAACUUCCCAAGUGCCUACUCAGGCUUAUACUUUCUCUAACCAAGAGUUAUUUUAACAGGCUUUACUGUCUCGAUUAACUCGUUUAGCUUUUCUAGUCCUUAAGGCUGGGUAGAAACCCUAAUCCUUGUGUUUACCCAGACAUUUGCUAAGUUCAAGGACAGCUAUCCAAGCUGGCUAAUGGCUUUGUUCUUUGAAAAGAAUCUGGGUUUGGUUCAAUGAGUAUAAUCAUUCAAUGCAGUAUUAAUCAUUGCAUUUGAUAGUUUUUCUUUGCCUACCCCUCUUUACAGAAUCAGCCUCAAAUUUUUUCUGGGGAUUUACCCUUUCCUCACCCCCAGUCUAUGACAUCUCAAUGGCAUUCUGAUCCCUACGUCAAGAAUGGAUCCAAGACCCAGGCCCAAGACAACCUACACAUGUGUUGCUGAGUCUAACUCAGGUCAGUGAAUGGGGAAAAACAUCUCUACUCCACAGAGUCAUUCAGGGACCCAGGCUCCUGCCAAGUGGUGACUUCAUCAUCCCUUAGGGCCUCGGACUGCUCUACUGGAUCCUGUGCAUCUAAAUAGCAGGUGAAGAGUUGGAAACAUUUCUACCUCAUUAAGCAACUUCAAUUCCAGAAACCCAGCUGGAGCGCCUGCCAUUGCCUCCCACUGGAGACAUCAGAGUAUAUUUCCCCAUCCGCUGAUGUUGGACUUGGCAUAUGACUCAUUUUGGCCAAUGGAAUGUCAGUGGACAUGACAUGAGCAGAGACUAUAGACGUGCUCCUGUGGUUUGGGUUGGCAUCUUGUGCUUCUCUCCUCUACUACAAGAAAAACUGUCCUGGGUAGCUGCUGGUCCAAGGAAAAUGAGAAAAAUGUGGAGUAGACCUGAACCCAAUCUUCCUGUGAGGAAGAAAAAGAAAUGCUUUUGAGAUUGCAAGUACCGCAUAGUAUCUCCCAGAAGAAGCAGCACGAGGAAGAGGCCUCAUUUAUGGGAAUGCUCAUCCCAUGUGUUGGCAAAGGUGGACACAGCAGUACUGGCUCAUCAAAGCUGGCAGCAGGUGGAUCGUCACAAUAUUUAACAGCCAGUACGGAAAGGCUCUGACCACUCCCCAUCUUCGGAGCAGAUGAGCUGUGAUCAGCCCUUCAGGGAGGGGGAGGCACCUCUCUUCCAAGAAUUCCAGUAAAAAUCCCAAGCCUAUCCAUUGAGCCAGGGUUGUUGAGUUGGACUAACCCAGAAUAUAUGAUCCAAGAGUGAAGAAGGGAAGUUCGCAGUGGCAGGCAGAAUAAUGCUCCCGGCCCCCUGCAAAGGGGUCUAUAUCCUAAUCCUGAGAAACUAUGAAUGGGUUACAUGGCAAAGAGGAAUUAAGGUUGCCAAUCAGCUGACCUUAAACUAGAAGAUUAUCCAGGUAAACCCAGUAUAAUCACCAGAGUCUUUAAGUGGAAGAAGGAGGCAGAAGAGGGGCAACCAGAGAGACGAUAGCAUAAGAAAGACAUGGCCUGAUGUUCCCAGCUUUGAAGAUGAAGGAAUGAGGCUAUGAGCGAAGGAAUGGGCAGUGUCUAGAGACUGGAAAAGGCAAAGAAACAGAUUCUCUCUGAGGGCCUCCAGGAGGCACACAGCCCUGCCAACACCUUGAUAUUACUCAGUGAGACCUAUUUUGGACUUCUGACCUCCAGAACUGAAAGAUAAUAAAUGUGUGUUGUUUUAAGCCACUCA